GACGUAGGGCGUGAGCGUUGUCCGGAUUUAUUGGGCGUAAAGAGCUUGUAGGCGGUUUGUCGCGUCUGCUGUGAAAUUUCGGGGCUCAACCCCGAACUUGCAGUGGGUACGGGCAGACUAGAGUGUGGUAGGGGAGACUGGAAUUCCUGGUGUAGCGGUGAAAUGCGCAGAUAUCAGGAGGAACACCGGUGGCGAAGGCGGCACUCUGGGCCGGUACUGACGCUGAGGAGCGAAAGCGUGGGGAGCGAACAGG
rnacentral:rRNA from 1 species